GUAAAGGCAUUGAAGAAGAGGAGUAUGCAUAAGUUCGUUUUCGAAAGAGAGAGUGGCCCGGAGGCUGAAAGGCGCUUGAUGACAGAGAUGCAGAAGGUAGCUUUCGAGCCGGACUGUUGAACAUCCAUACGGGCGCCCGAAUGGUGCUAGAUGGUCCCGGAGUCGUUCCCGUUAAAGAAUAAGAUGAGAUGUAUAGAGGAAGUUUUUUCUAUAUAAUAAAGGUGGUACCGCGACUACAAUCGCCCUUUAC
rnacentral:ncRNA from 1 species